GAUGAAGAACGUAGCGAAAUGCGAUACUUGGUGUGAAUUGCAGAAUCCCGUGAACCAUCGAGUCUUUGAACGCAAGUUGCGCCCGAAGCCAUUAGGCCGAGGGCACGCCUGCCUGGGCGUCACACGUCGUUGCCCCCCCAUCUACUCCUUCGGGAUUGCGGGGGGCGGAUGAUGGCCUCCCGUGCGCCUCGUCGCGCGGUUGGCAUAAAUACCAAGUCCUCGGCGACGCUCGCCACGACAAUCGGUGGUUGCGAAACCUCGGUUGCCCGUCGUGUGCGGUCGUCGCGCAUCGAGGGCUCGAAAAAAUUGCCGGGCUCCGGCUCGGCUUUCAACGCGACCCCAGGUCAGGCGGGGUUACCCGCUGAAUUUAAGCAUAUCAAUAAGCGGAGGA
rnacentral:misc_RNA from 1 species